rnacentral:rRNA from 1 species
GACGAACGCCGGCGGCGUGCUUAACACAUGCAAGUCGAGCGGUAAGGCCCUUCGGGGUACGACGAGCGGCGAACGGGUGAGUAACACGUGGGUGACCUGCCCUUAGCUCUGGGAUAAGCCUGGGAAACUGGGUCUAAUACCGGAUAUGACCUCAUGACGCAUGUUGUGGGGUGGAAAGCCUUGUGCGGCUAGGGAUGGGCCCGCGGCCUAUCAGCUUGUUGGUGGGGUGAUGGCCUACCAAGGCGACGACGGGUAGCCGGCCUGAGAGGGCGACCGGCCGCACUGGGACUGAGACACGGCCCAGACUCCUACGGGAGGCAGCAGUGGGGAAUAUUGCGCAAUGGGCGGAAGCCUGACGCAGCGACGCCGCGUGAGGGAUGACGGCC